UUCAGCAGUGGCGGUGAAACAGAAGGGCUGAUUACGUCAUGAAGAGAUGCUUUCCAGAUGAUUGGCUGUAUAAAUAUGGCAAUAUGGGGGUGGGAUGUUGCGUAACAUCUGGCCUGUGCUGUGCAGGAGACGAGACCAGACGGGGCGCGAUCGUGCUGGCAAGCGAAACGGUCACCAUGGUUUCCGGCUUGCUCCAAAGGAGGGACUUUCCUGGCUAUUUUCACACAGUGAAGUCAGACUUCAGUGGAAGCUGCGAUGAGGGUGUGUGCAUCUGCAAAAAACAUUUCACCAGCAAAGGCCUGUAGAAGGAAUAUCAUACCAUGACUGACUGAUUGAUUGUGUUCAAGUCCAACUGUGAGCUUCACUGAAGUGCCAUUCUUCAAAAACAACUUGUAAGUUACAGAACCAACUCCACUUUGAAACAAAUGGCACAAUCUACCAUGUACCUGGGUACGAGGGAAUCCCCCCCUCUGAGAGUGGUAGGAUCCAGCUCAAAGAUGGAGGAGAUGUCGUUGCCAUCGGGGACGGAGACGAGGGUGUACAUGACCUUCUCGUUGGGUGUGCGCAGACGUGCUCGCAGAGCCUCAUGCUCGGAGUCCAGCUGAGACACGGGAGACACAGUUACCAUGGAAACCAAGCAACAGAGGCACAGUAAAGACCAAGAUAAGAGAGCAAGCAGGUUGGUACUUACUGAAGAACGAGAUUCAUGAGACUCUUCCUCAUAGUCUGGAUUCACCUAAAAAAUACGCACACAAACAUAUGCAAAAUGAAAUUCUAGCACAGCAAAAGACAACAUAUCUCCAUUUUUUCAGCCAAAGCAUUGGUUAAAAAGUUCUCAACGUAAAUAACCUAAAACAGGUGGCAACAUAAAGCCACACUAUAAAAAAGCUUUUCAUCUGGCUGCUUUGAAACUUCCUAACCAGUGAGUCUGAUACAGCGGACUUCAUCUGAAACAAGAUCCAACUUACAGUGAAGCAGACAAGCAGCUUUCAGCCCAUAACCAGUGCAAUUGUAAUACUUUAUAAAACUCAGGUGUCAAAUCUCAAGCAACAGAAAGUCGGAGAGUUGCACUGUUUAGUGUUUUCUCUGCUUUAAAAUGUCUGAUUCCUCAUUUGAUGUACCUGUUAAUUCACUAAAUAUGAUGGAGUAUGCAAAGCCAUUGCAUGUGCACACAACGAAUAGCACUUUUAAAAACUAUUUAUUUGUAUUCACUCCUCAGCACUCUUCUUUUCUCUGCUCUGAAACACUUUGUUCAACUCAUGAGACUUUCUAGACCAAAGUUUGACACCAGAGUUUGUGUUAGUAGCUGUGAGUGCAGUGCCCUACCCAGCGUGAGCAGUUAGAGCUGACCUGGAACCAGUCGAGAGAGCGUCCGGAAGCAGAA